ensembl:lncRNA
UUUGAGAUAAUUUAGAACAAAACUAAUUUGGCCAUAUGUCUGAGAAGUAGAAAGAUCUGUCAAGCCUGUUGGAAGAGGCUUCUAGUCCUGGCAGAAGUAAAAGCAGGUCCUGAAGUCAAAAGUGAGCCUGGGUGACUCAGUCGGUUAAGCGUCUGACUUCGGCUCAGCUCAUGAUCUCGCGGUCCGUGAGUUUGAGCCCCGCGUCGGGCUCUGUGCUGACGGCUCGGAGCCCGGAGCCUGCUUCUGAUUCUGUGCCUCCCUCUCUCUCUGCCCCCACUCAUGCUCUGUCUCUGUGUCAAAAAUAAAUACACAUUAAAAAAAUUUAUUUUUCCAAAAAAGUAGGAGAAAAUGAUGAAGGCAUCACGGCUUAUGCAAUCAAUCAGAAGCCAGUAGGAAUAAUCCUUAGGGACGAAGACAGAAUGGCACAGCAGAGGAAAAGUCCUGGUUUUGUGUCAUCGACAAACAUGAGAAAGUGAAGGAAGAUCAUUGAAGGUUUUUUGGAACUCCCAGUAUAUAGACCAGAUCUAUAGACCAGAUCCGUGUGUGUGGGCGUCCGUCUGGGCUCAGGUUGGUCUAUGUUCUGUUCAUUCCACAGGUUGUCGACUCUUCAGGACCUGCUCAGUAACACAAACAGUGUUCCCGCAGCCGGUCUGCAGCUUCACAUACUGAGGCUGUCUCUACAGAAGUUCCCGAAAGGAGUCCAGACGGACGAGCGCUAACCUGCCUCAAUGGACAAAGAAAGAAGAGACUCCAGGACGGCAUCCAUUUCUGGGACGUGGUCUCCUCCUUCUAGGUCAGGUGCAGAGACAUCACCGUUCACACCCACAGAGGCAUUUCCAGCUGGUGCCCUCAACCAGCACUGGGGGACCGUCUUCCCUACAGGUACAGGUAGGAACUACUCUAGACUUCGCGGUCAGAGGGUCUCUGUGGUGACUUCUCAACACUUCGAGGCAGCCUGAAGCCUGAGGUCACCCUCACACGGCCCAGGAAGGCAGAAAGAGCAUGGCUAUCUGCCCAUAAGACAUUACUGAGGGACGCUGGGAUUCGCAUCUAAUCUCCUUGCAUCAACAAAGACUCCUCUUUCCGACCAGAAUGAGGGUCUCUCCGUUGCUAUGUUUCUUGACACUCGAUAUGUGAACCGCACAGCAGGCUGAUUUUUAAAAUAACAUUUUAAAUGUUUCAAGUAACAUUUUAAAAAAGGGUACACACGUUAAGAGGAACAUCGGGAGAAAAACUUGGAUCUGAGACCCAGCUCAGACACACCUAUGGUACAACUUGAAGAACCCGCAUCUGUGGAAAACGACGCAAUGGGAACUCCCCUGUUGCCCAAGUCUGUGGAUUUUGGAGCAGCAAACGUGGAGGAAAAUGGAGAGACUCUGUAUUACCGAUCAUUUCCUAAGAACGAAGGUCACGUGGAAAGGAGCUGAGGUGGCUGGGAUCUGAUUAUUAAAGCCUGCAAUGGAGAAACAUAGUACUUGCAAAUGUGACAACAAACACAGCCAGGAAAAAAAUAGAAUUUCAUCAUAUUUCCUCUCCGUCCUUCUGCCUUGUUUAAAAAGUCAUUAAUAGUUAUGGUAUCAAUUGAUUCACGUCCACAACUUAGUCGCCAUGAUGGGACUGCCCCCAAGGUGAAAAUCAUUCUGGAAUGCUCCGGUCAGCAGUAAAUCUUCAAUUCAGAGGUUGAUGGGGAUCAAUAAAGGACAGCUGGAAGGAAACA